UACGAAGGGGGCUAGCGUUGUUCGGAAUCACUGGGCGUAAAGGGCGCGUAGGCGGCGCGACAAGUCAGGCGUGAAAGCCCCGGGCUCAACCCGGGAAUUGCGCUUGAUACUGUCGUGCUUGAGGCCGGGAGAGGAUGGCGGAAUUCCCAGUGUAGAGGUGAAAUUCGUAGAUAUUGGGAGGAACACCAGUGGCGAAGGCGGCUACCUGGACCGGUUCUGACGCUGAUGCGCGAAAGCGUGGGUAGCAAACAGG
rnacentral:rRNA from 1 species